AUUGAACGCUGGCGGCAGGCCUAACACAUGCAAGUCGAGCGAGCGGCGGACGGGUGAGUAAUGUAUGGGAAUCUGCCUGAUGGAUGGGGAUAACUACUGGAAACGGUUGCUAAUACCGCAUACCAUCGGAUGUGCCCAGUUGGGAUUUGCGAGUUGGUGGGGUAACGGCUCACCAAGGCGACGAUCCCUAGCUGGGCUGAGAGGAUGACCAGCCACACUGGAACUGAGACACGGUCCAGACUCCUACGGGAGGCAGCAGUGGGGAAUAUUGCACAAUGGGCGAAAGCCUGAUGCAGCCAUGCCGCGUGUAUGAAGAAGGCCUUCGGGUUGUAAAGUACUUUCAGCGGGGAGGCGUUACCCGCAGAAGAAGCACCGGCUAACUCCGUGCCAGCAGCCGCGGUAAUUC
rnacentral:rRNA from 1 species